rnacentral:lncRNA from 1 species
CCCAUUCAAUUACCCCACUUUCUCCAUUUAUCCCACCUUUCACGCCCCUUCUCCAUUUUCCCCACUGACAUUUCCAAUAUCCUCCUCCAUCAUCUGCACACACACACAAAAAAUAACAACACAAUUAUAGAGGUAGGGACAGACUCCAUUCCCAUAUAAAAAGAGAGAGAACACGCGAAAAAAGGGGGAAGAAGGAGCAGCCAAACCAGCUGCAAAUUUUCUAAAAACCAGACUGAAAAACCCAGAAAAGUUGUCCCAAAAUCAGCACCAAAAACCCGACAAACCACCGUCCAAAACUAGCCACAAACAUCCAUCGAAACGACCCAUUUUACACCAGAACCAGCUGUCCAAAUCUAGUCGAGUCGGUAUAGUUUUCGUUGAGAUCUUGGUUUGAGGUCACCAUUGAGGUUAUGAUCGAUUGGCUCUGUUGCGUUUAAAGAACUGUUUGUUGAUAGCACUAUUUGCUUGCUGAUUCCUGCUGGCUUUAUUGGUUAUAACUUGUAAAGAGCCUUAUGAGUUGGACUUUGCAUUUUCUUUGUGCAAUGUUUUUGCAUCAGGUAUUCCCCUUUACCUUUAAUAGUGUAAAACUUGGAAUGAAGUUUAUGGAAUAUGAGUUUAUUUUAGCUAUCCGAACUUGUCUGUAUUAUCUGAAAUAUGAUUUAAGUUGAUUGGUACCAAGAAUGAAUACUUGGAUAUUAGAGUUCAUUCGUACGUAGUUCAUAAACUUUAAAAAUAGUUUUUUAUGUGUAAAUAACAAACUUGUGAUGUUGUGCUUUUAUUUUUCUUUCCGAAGUUCCAAAAUAUAACAAAAUGUGUUAGAAGUUUCUGGCAAUGUUCUUUAGGUGUUUUGUGUUAAUAAACUUUGAAGAGGGAUGUUUAAAUUAUCGGACUAGGCAACAUGUUUGUUUUAUUCUUUGUUUUUCAUUAGUAUGCUAAGAGCAGAUUGAGCAAAAGAAAAAAAAUUGUUGUAUUUAUUUGGAACUAUAAAACUUAUAGUUUAAAUAGAAAAUUGGUUUUAAAGUCCAUAAAUUGUAGUAGAUCUGUCUUUAAGUCUUCGUGUUAGAAUAGAGUUCUUUAGGAAUUUAAAGUAAAAGUUUUACAAAAUGUAUUUCUCAUUAAGUCAGCAAUGUUUUCCUUUUUGUUUUUUUUUUAAAUUACCAAUAGAAAUGAAAUCAAGUAUAUUCUUUAGACUCUUGAAGCUGGAUGCCAUGAAUAAUUUUAGAGGAAUACUUUAUUAAGUUAACUGAGAAAAAAAAAUUCUUUUCUAAGGAUAUUUCUAAUUGUUGAAAAGAGAUGGUGGGUCCGUUAUUUAGUUAUUGAUUUGAUGGUCUAAAUCCAAUUAUGUCUAAGUUUUGAUUAAACUAGUCAUGUGUUGUAGCGGAGAAUUUACAGAAAAGAAAAAUAACAAAUGAGUUGAUACUAAAACUGUAUUUUUGGGUUUUAUUUUGUUGAAUAAAAAUAGGAAUUAGACCAAAAGUAAUUACUAAGCUCACUUCCAUAAUAAACAAAGUUGUUUCAUUGCUUCCUAAAAAAAUGGGAAAAGAAAAUGAAAGUCGGCCCAAAGUGUCAAAAUCGACAAAGGCUUUUAGUGAUUUUUUUUAGUAAAAUUAGUUUAGUUCCCUAGGCAAUUUUAUGCGCGUCCUCAAGUAUUGACCAAGUGUUCAUACACGAUCCUUGAUUAAUAUCAAAUAAUAAAUGAUCAUGUGUGCAUCUCCGCUCCUUGACUCGUCAAUAGUAAAUUGUGUUUGACCAUGUGUUCAUACCCGUUCCUUGGCUAAAUGCAUGUCAUCAAAUAAAAACCUUUUGUGCUUACACGCUCCUAGGCACCUGUUAAUAAAACUUAAUUAUCUAUUAAGCAAUACUAGACAAUAAUAAUUUAAGGCAAAUAAAUCACAGUUUAUCCAGAAUUAAUUCAAGCCAAGUUUAAGUCAAUAAAGAGACCGUGCUAGAACCACGAGACUCGGGGAAUGCCUUACACCUUCUCCCUGAUCAACAGAAUUCCUUACCCGAAUUUUGUUUUCGCAGACCAACAUAAAAAGAGUCAAAUCUUCCUUUGAAUAGGGAUUUCAAAUAAAAGGUGACUUGGAACACCCAAAAAAUCAAAUUUCAAGUAGCGACUCUGUAAAUAAAAUAACCCCUACUCAAAUUUAUCACUUUAAAUUGGAAAAAACUAUUUAAUCCACAAUCCAUAACUUUUUACGUUAUAUUUUGGAGGGGUAAACAGGGGGUGUGACAUCCACUAUCUUUGCUUCAUUGCAGUCCGCUUCCUUUCAUUGUUUCCUGCACAUGCAAAUCAUGAGUUAGAUUUAGGAACCCAAACCAGUUUGGGUCCCUUGUUAUGAUAAAAGGGAUGGAUAUGAGCUUUUCUAGUCCAUGCAGGCAAUAUUCGUUUCUUGCGACGGGUACCUGGUCCCUUGUUAGUAGUCACUUUAUCAGUAAACACUUUGUUUUUCUUAACAGAUUGAGCCCUGGCCUGGCAAUUUUCUUUGAAGUGCUCAUUUUUCCCACAGUGUGUACACUGCCAGUUAUUAAGAACAUUGACGUACUUGCUGUGAGGGUUGUAAGGAGUUUUCUCCCUUUGGAACCCGAUCCCUUCCUGUUUUCACUGUUAUUCAAGUACAUGGCAGUCACAUCAUCUGAGGACCAGAUCCACUUUCGAGAUUUCUCAAGAUCACCUUUGAUUUUCUCUAAUUCAGCUUGAAGUUGUCGAUUUUUCUCAAGUUCACCACAUAGACUGGUUUUCACAUCGUUUAACUCAUGUUCAAGCUUGAUGUGUGUGUCACUAACUACUUUUUUCCCUUUCCCAAGGCUUACAGUCCUAUGUUCUCUAUUGAGUCCCUCAAUGAUUUCCACUAGGUCAGUAAUUAUCACUAAACAAUCAUCCCUCUCUUGCUCAGUAGCUAAACUUUUUCCUUCUAGAGUGUGUUUCUCAUUACUAAGACCUUCUACUGUUUCCUUCAAGUCAGCCACCACUACCAUCAGGUCAUCUCUCUCAUUUUCUGCACUAGUUAUUUUUUCAUUUAGAGCUUCCUUUUUUUUCAAGAUUAGCUAUGGUCUUAUUUAGGUCCACUACACAAACAACCAGAUCAUCUCUAGAUUGUUCAGCUUCUCCUAGUUCUAAGGUCAGGAUCUCCUUAUCAUUAUCAAGGCUAUAAUAAACAUCAAUUAAAAUAUUGGCUAAUGACCUUAACUUCUUAGAAGAGUAGGAUUUCAUAUUUCUCUGAACAUCCCUGAAGUUUACCUCAUCAUCUUCAUCUUCUUCAUCCUCAUCAGACCGAGCCAUCAACGCAAACAGUGAGUCAUACUUCGUUGCUUUAGUUUCCACUUCCAUCAUGGAACUAUUUUCUGCAUCUGAUUCCCUUUCUGAUUCACUGGAGGAAUCUCCCUAAGCAGCAAGUGACUGCUUCACAAUAUUGUCCGCUGCACUUUUUCAAUUGAAUCGUUUGUCUGGAACUAGGUUCCUUUUUGCUUCUUUGUCAGGAUUUUGUUUGUAUGGCUCUUGUUUCACGAGUGGACAGUCUUUGAUAAAAUGCCCUGGCUUUCCGCACCUGUGACAGAGAUCAUUGUUCUUUUCUUUACUUGAACUUCUCCUCUUUGGUAUACCUCCAUUUCUUCGAACCAUCUUUUGAAAUCUUUUAGUAAGAUAGGCCAUGUCACUAUCUUCAUUACUUGAGCCACUGCUUUCAGCUUUGAGUACCAGGUUCUUUUCCUUCUUAGGCUCUCUCCUUUCACUGUCUUUCUUUCUUUUCAUCUUGUAUGUCUUCAGAUUACUAAUCAACUCAUCCAUGGUUAGACUUUGUAGAUCUUUAGUUUCAGUGAUGGCAUUUACCUUACUUUCCCAAGAACCAGGUAGAACACUGAGGAUUUUCCUUACAAACUUGUUUCUGGGAAUGACAUUUCCAAGUAAAUGAAGCUCAUUUAUGAUGGAGGUGAAUCCGGUGUGCAUAUCUUGUAUAGACUCAUCAUCGUUCAUCCUAAAGAGCUCAUACUCUGUGGUGAGCAUGUCAAUCUUGGACUGUUAACAUGAGUAGUUCCUUCGUGUGCGGUUUGCAAUACCUCCCAUAUUUCUUUGGCAGUAUCACACGUUGAGACUCUAUUGUACUCAUCAGGUCCUAUGCCACAUACCAAGAUUUUUUUGGCACGAUAGUUCUUUUCUACGGCUUUUCUAUCAAUGUCGAUGUACUCUUUUCUGUCUUUCGACACUAUUGGUCCAGUUUCUUCAAGCUUCUUCAUAGGAACAUAUGAACCAUCACAAAUGAUGUCCCAUAGUUCUGAAUCUUCGGCAAUUAUUAAGUCAUGCAUGCGAGUCUUCCACUAGCCAUAGUAUUGACCGUUGAAUCUAGGAGGUUUGUAGGUUGAUUAUCCUUCCUCAAAGUUAGGUGGAUCAGCCAUUGAGAUCCUUUCUAGGUAUUAAUCUUUUAGAAAGAACCUGCUCUGAUACCAAUUGUUAGCUUGUAUGAGUCCAUCAAACUGUAGAGUACCUGGUCCUCUAUGAGAUAAUACUGAGAAUGCUAAUAAAACUGAAAGUAAAGAAGACAAGGGAUUUUUACGCGGAAAAAAUCCCACACAAGGGAAUCAAAAAACCACGACCUACACUUGUAGGCUUUUAACUUCACUAACUUGCAAUCUCACUAUUACAAGUCACUUUGCAAUAACCCUAUUACAAAGACUUCAACUAACUUGUGAUUCUCUCACCACAAGCUACUUUAUAACUCUCGUAGUUACAAAGACUUUAAACUUAUGACUAAUCCUAGCCACAACAAAAACUUGGAAGUUUACAGAUUUUUUGGUUUUCCUAAGACAAAGCUUCUAAGAAAGCAAGAUAGGAGAUAUAAUGAAGAACAAAUAACAAGAUUACAAUUCAACUAUGGAUAUAUAUAAACUCAUUAAGAAAUUGAUCCUUAGUGGAGUUGUCUUCUUGUUCUUGACGCAUCAGUGACUUCAAUGUCGGAUGAACACUGUUAUGCUUGAGAGAAUAUCACUGAAUGCACACAGAUGUUGUGCCUUGCAUCAGGUUGUUAUAUCACAAAAGACAUCACAAUAGAUAGUGAUGUCAAUUCUUGGUACACGCUUCUUCCCAAUGAGAAGUGACUGUUGCACUGUCUGCACAGUCACUUCUAUGCAGUUGUGUUCCAGCUAUAUAGUUAGAGCUGUCAAAACGGGCUAUCCUAGCUCAACCCAGCCCAAGCCUCGUGGGCUUUUAAAUUUGGUGGGCUAGGGCGGGCUGGCCCUCCAUCUAUAUGGGCCUUAAAAUGGCUAGCCCAGCCCAGCCCUAAGAGGGCCGCAAGCUAGGGCGGCCGACCCUUCAACUUUUUUAGAAAAAAAUAUUUCUUCAAAUUUUUAGAUAUUUUUUCGUGACAUAAUCUUUUAAUCAUAUGAACGACUUCUGUUUAUUUAGAGUGUACAAGAAUCUUGAUAUUCGAUAAGGAAUCUCGUAAUUGAAAUGCAAAUUCUCUAUAUCUCUAGCUCUUCUUUUUUAAUGUUACAUGAAUUAUUUUUUAAUACUUUUCUUACACUUUCCUUAGAUUCAGGUAGUGCUUCGAUAAGUUUAUAUGUUAAGGUUUUUAAUGUAGGUUUAACAUUAUUUGUUGAUUUCAUCAUUAUAGUCCAUGAAAUUUUUAAAAUUCAUGAAAUUUUUAAAAUUCAUGAAAUUUGCUAGUGUUUUUCAAUUUUCUUUUGGUAUUAAAACUUGACCUUAUUUUAUACUGAAGAGCAAUUUAAUAAUUAAUAAUAUAUUAAAGUAACUAAACUGAUCAUUGGCCACUUAAAGAAAUAUUUCUUUUGAAAAAAAUUACUAUUGGCCACUUAAAACUUUCCUAGUUCGUUGUUAACUAAGCAAAAGAAAAACUAAUCUUGUCAUACUACAUGCAUAUCAAAAAUAUAGAUUCUAGUUGAUAAGGAAGGAUAAAUGAGAAUUCUAAGGUUGGAAAAUGUAGAUUAUAGUUAAUAUUUUUUUAGUUUUUACUUUUUUUAAAUAUUUAAAUAUAAAUGUAAUUAAUUUUUGGCCCACGGGCCAGCCUCGGUCAAGCCUCAAGGGCCAGCGAGCUGACUUGGGCCGGGAUUAUAAGCCUCAAUUUUAAAUGGGCUAAAACAAUCCCAACUCAGCCCUACCCAAGUAGUGGGCUGGGUUGGGGCCAUGCCCAUUUUGACGGCUCUAUGUAUAGUUGACUUGUACUUCUGUCAGAAAAUACUAAGGGACCAAGUCCCAGUUGUGUUCCUCUUUUGUAACAGUUGCGAGAUAGUCACUUUCUGUUGUUACAUUCCAGCUGUACAAUUGACUUGUACUUCUGUCAGAGAACUCUAAGAGACCAGGUCCCUAUUGUGUUCCUCUUUAUAAUAAUUGCGGACAGUCACUGACUUGUACUUCUGUCGGAGAACCCUAAGGGACCAGAUCACCAGGUCCUUGUUGUGUUCCUCCUUGUGGUUGUUCAUUCAUUUGCUGGAGACCAGAUUGGACAUUAUUCAUUUGAAAUGUAUACCGCGUGGUCAGGUUCUCUAUCUGGUUCUUCAAUAAGUUUGUUAGAUCAUCAAAACAUAAGAAGCAUAAGGCAAAGACAUUGAAAACCCAUCAGAAAGGAUUUGGAUUUUUGUGAAACUGUUGAUGCUUGUCAAGACUUGUGCCUUACACCCCUGAUGCUAUAUCCUCAAGUAAGUAUGCCAAAGCCUGUGGCUAUAGAGUGGUGCAAGGCUAAUCUGUUAUACUGUGUGUGGCAAAUUGAUAACAAGUAUUUUGUGUAUGUUAUUUUCCACUUGGGAGAGGGUUUGAUUCGAAUUUAUGAUAGCAAUGUCAGUUUGUAUUGUCACACCUCCUUCUUCCGCCCUGAGGGGUUUUCACUAAUAACUCUCUCAUUUCUCUCAACUCCCGUCGCCUCAUGGUGCCCGUGAAGGUUUUAACCAAUGAGACUCUCUCAUUUUAUUUUAUUUUUCAGCUGGGGAUUGGAGCGUGCCGAUACGAUGCUCUUUGGUGGGGAUUCUUCCGGCUAUCAAUUCGUUUCCAGUUUUUUGAUCCUUUUCUCUGCUGGGGAUCAGAGUGUUGCUCCUGACUUCCACGUGCAUGAACUUGGCACUUCUCGAAUACUGAUCGGGAGGUCUUUUUUGGACAUCAAUAUGGUUUUUUAUGUAUGGCUAAAAAAAAGAAAAAGGGGUAUCAAAAGGCUCAAAAUAAUUUUGAUGGGUAAAAUAUUACAACUCUUGGAAUCAAACUUUCUUUCCUAAAAUUACAAACACAACUUCUGCCCAGUUUUCUUGCUUGGGGAUUCUUAUUUUUUGUUACACUAUGACCGAGCCGUGAGGCGCCUACGUAUCCUUCUUUGAGGAAUCAGGUCAAACGUAGUUCCCAUUUUCUUUGUUUUUUUUCUUGUGACUUUUCUUUUGUCUUUAUUAUUGUUUUUCUCUCUUUUUAUCUUUUGUUUUGAUUACUGAUUCCAAAAGAGGGAUAUGAAAGAAUAAAUAAGGCUCAAACGGGUAAGCAAAGGUUAAAAUGUUUUGAUAGAAGAAAGAAUUGCCUCCGUCAUCUCAUUCUCCGAUAAAUGCCAACCCAAACAAAUGUCAAUUACAAUCAAAAGAGAUUAUACAUAAUAUCUCUUAACUGCGUCGGAAUUGAUAGCCAUGUCGAUGCAUUUUCCUUCGAUAUCUGUUAAACAUAAAGCGCCAUAGGACAAUACUCUGGUUACAAUGAAUGAUCCUUGCCAAUUCGGAGCGAACUUGCCUUUUGCUUCCGCUUGGUGUGGCAGGAUUUGUUUCAACACUUGUUGCCCCACUUCAAAUUUUCUGGGGCGCACCCUCUUGUUGUAAGCUCUCGCCAUUCUCUUUUGAUAUAACUGGCCAUGACACACGGCUGCCAAUCUUUUUUCAUCAAUCAAGCUCAACUGUUCCAAACGGGUUUUGACCCACUCAUCAUCAUCAAUCUCAGCCUCGGCGACAAUCCGAAGGGAUGGAAUUUCCACUUCCGCUGGUAUCACUGCUUCAGUUCCAUACACCAACAAAUAAGGGGUUGCACCUACUGAAGUCCGGACGGUAGUGCGAUAACCCAACAAUGUGAAUGGUAAUUUUUCAUGCCAUUUCCUGGAUCCUUCUACCAUCUUCCUCAGUAUCUUUUUGAUGUUCUUGUUGGCCGCUUCAACAGCUCCAUUUGCCUUGGGACGAUAUGGUGUGGAAUUACGGUGUGUAAUCUUAAACUGUUCGCAUACUUCUCUCAUCAAACUGUUGUUAAGAUUAGCACCGUUGUCCGUAAUUAUCACUUUCGGGACCCCAAAUCUACAGAUGAUAUGGGAAUGGACAAAAUCCACCACUGCCUUCUUGGUUACUGACUUGAAAGUUUUGGCUUCAACCCACUUAGUAAAAUAAUCGAUGGCCACCAGAAUGAACCUGUGACCGUUCGAAGCCGCCGGUUCAAUAGGCCCAAUGACGUCCAUCCCCCAUGCCACAAAUGGCCAUGGUACUGACAUUGUGUGCAAUUCCGUUGGUGGAGAAUGAAUUAGAUCGCCGUGUAUCUGACACUGAUGGCAUUUCCGCACGAAUUUGAUACAAUCAUGCUCCAUGGUGAGCCAAUAAUACCCUGCUCGAAGAAUCUUCUUCGCCAAUACAUAUCCGCUCAUAUGGGGUCCACAAACUCCAGCAUGUACCUCUGUCAUAACCGUCGUGGCUUGACUGGCGUCUAUACAUCUCAGCAAUCCCAAAUCUGGGGUUUUCUUGUAUAACACUCCACUAAGGAAGAAACCACUAGACAAUCGCUGAAUGGCUCUUUUUUGGUCUCCGGUGGCCUGCUCCGGGUAUAUCCCCAUCCUGAGAUACUCUUUGACAUCAUAAAACCAUGGCUCGCCAUCCACUUCUUCCUCUAUCAUGUUGCAAUAGGCAUGCUGAUCGUGAACCUGGAUGUGCAACGGGUCAACAUGAAUUUUGUCUGGGUGGUGCAACAUUGAUGCUAAAGUGGCCAAUGCAUCGGUAACCUCAUUGUGAACUCUAGGGAUGUGUCUGAACUCUACUAAUCGAAACCGCUUGCUCAGAUCGUGCAAACAUUGUUGAUAUGGUAUGAGCUUCAAAUCCCGUGUUUCCCAUUCACCCUGAAUUUGAUGCACCAGGAGGUUCGAGUCUCCCAAGACCAAAACGUCCUGGACAUCUAUGUCUGCCGCUAAUCGCAAACCCAAAAUGCAUGCCUCGUACUCAGCCAUGUUGUUGGUACAAUAGAAACGCAGUUGAGCUGUAACAGGGUAAUGAUGUCCAGUUUCGUAAAUAAGCACUGCUCCUAUUCCAACUCCCUUCGCAUUUGCGGCUCCAUCAAAGAAAAGCUUCCAACCGGGUUCCUCAGGUAACUCCAACUCAUCUAUCUGCAUUACUUCCUCGUCGGGAAAAUACGUCCUCAACGGCUCGUAUUCCUCGUCAACAGGAUUCUCAGCCAAGUGAUCUGCCAAUGCUUGGGCCUUCAUGGCUAUCCUCGUCACAUAGACGAUAUCGAACUCCGUGAGUAAUAUUUGCCAUUUUGCCAACCUUCAUGUGGGCAUAGGUUUUUGGAAAAUAUACUUUAACGGAUCCAAACGGGAAAUGAGAUAAGUAGUAUAUGAGGAUAAAUAAUGUUUCAACUUCUGGGCCACCCAGGUUAGGGCGCAACAUGUCUUCUCGAGUUGAGUGUACUUAACCUCAUAUACUGUAAACUUCUUGAUGAGAUAAUAGAUGGCUUGCUCUUUUCUUCCCGUAAUGUCGUGCUUCCCCAACACGCAACCAAAAGAAUUCUCCAAGACCGUCAGAUAAAGAAUUAACGGUCUUCCCGGCUCAGGGGGAACCAAUACAGGUGGAUUUGAUAAAUAUUCUUUGAUCUGGUCGAAUGCCGCCUGGCAUUCCGCCGUCCAUCUUAUUGCAGCAUCCUUCUUCAACAGCUGAAAAAUGGGUUCGCAGGUUGCUGUGAGUUGAGCAAUAAAUCUGCUGAUGUAAUUCAACCUUCCCAACAGACUCAUCACUUCUGUCUUGUUCUUCGGCGGUGGCAACUCUUGGAUAGAUUUGAUUUUUGAUGGAUCCAGUUCAAUACCUCGCCGACUGACGAUGAAUCCCAAAAUCUUCCCGGAUGGAACACCAAAUGCGCAUUUGGCCGGGUUGAGCUUAAUAUCAUACCUUCGAAGUCUUUGAAAGAACUUCCUUAGGUCUGCUACGUAGUCUUCCUGACGCUUGGACUUUAUGAUUACAUCGUCUACGUACACUUCAAUUUCUUUGUGUAUCAUGUCAUGAAACACAGUGGUCAUUUCUCUCAUGUACGUUGCUCCAGCAUUCUUCAAACCAAAUGGCAUUACCCGGUAGCAAUAGGUUCCCCACGGCGUAAUGAAGGCUGUCUUUUCCGCAUCUUCCUCAUCCAUCAGAAUCUGAUGAUACCUAGCAUAACAAUCCACAAAAGAUCCGAUCUUACACCUGGCACAAUUGUCGAUCAAGAUAUGGAUGUUGGGUAAAGGAAAGUUGUCUUUAGGGCUUGCCCUGUUCAGAUUGUGGUAGUCGACGCACACCCUGAUCUUUCCAUCUUUCUUUGGGACCGGCACCACAUUAGCCAACCAAUCAGGAUAUCGAGUGACACGAAUAACCUUUGCUUGUAGCUGCUUGGUUACUUCUUCUUUAAUUUUCAUGCUCAUCUCCAUUUUGAACUUUCUCAAUUUUUGCUUGACGGGAGGGCACGCCGGGUCAGUGGGCAAUUUAUGAACCACUAAAUCUGUGCUUAACCCCGGCAUGUCAUCAUACGACCAUGCAAAAACAUCUUUGAACUCAAUAAGUGUUUUGACCAAUUCCUCCCUGAUAUUUGGUGCAAUGUGGAUGCUUAUUUUAGUUUCUCUGACAUCGCCGGCAUCCCCUAAAUUGAUGGCUUCUGUGUCAUUUAAGUUGGGUUUGUAUUUUUCUUCAAACUGGAUCAACUCUNNNNNNNNNNNNNNNNNNNNNNNNNUGAUGAUGGUAAACUAGAAGAACUGGUACAAUUUCUCGCACUCAUUAUGCCUAGGAUUUUGAUGAAAACUGGCCAGUUGCAUACUUAGGCCAAGAUGUGCUUACGAAGAAAUGGUCCUGGGAGCGUAUUAUGGAUGUGCCAUCCAUUCAGCGAAGGUAAAUUAAAUGUGAAAUCCAUUAUGUUUUACUCAUUCUUCUAGUUUCUUUAAUAAUUAAUCUUUGAUUAUUCUAGUGAAAAUAGUGGAGCAUAUGCAGUGAAGAUUAUUGACUUCCUACUAACUGAUACACUGUUGGAUCAGCUUAAUGACAAGCUAAUAGAGUUAUUCAGGAAAAAAAUUGCAGUUGAUAUCUUUAGGAGAAGGAUGAACCCUUCUUAGUUUUAUAAUUAUAAUUUCAAUUUAUGUUGGUCAUGAGACAAAUUCAUUUUGGGUGAACUUAUAGUAAUUUAUGAUAUUUGUAUCUACCUCUAUGUAAAGAAACUACCUUACUGUUUAUUAACUAUUGAUGAUGUAAUUUUUGUUUUCUUAGCACUUUCCUAUUGUAUUACAACAGGUAGCUAUUUGGUUGUGUACUAGACA